ACGGGUGAGUAAUGUCUGGGGAUCUGCCCGAUAGAGGGGGAUAACCACUGGAAACGGUGGCUAAUACCGCAUAACGUCGCAAGACCAAAGAGGGGGACCUUCGGGCCUCUCACUAUCGGAUGAACCCAGAUGGGAUUAGCUAGUAGGCGGGGUAAUGGCCCACCUAGGCGACGAUCCCUAGCUGGUCUGAGAGGAUGACCAGCCACACUGGAACUGAGACACGGUCCAGACUCCUACGGGAGGCAGCAGUGGGGAAUAUUGCACAAUGGGCGCAAGCCUGAUGCAGCCAUGCCGCGUGUAUGAAGAAGGCCUUCGGGUUGUAAAGUACUUUCAGCGGGGAGGAAGGCGAUGUGGUUAAUAACCGCGUCGAUUGACGUUACCCGCAGAAGAAGCACCGGCUAACUCCGUGCCAGCGGCCGCGGUAAUACGGAGGGUGCAAGCGUUAAUCGGAAUUACUGGGCGUAAAGCGCACGCAGGCGGUCUGUUAAGUCAGAUGUGAAAUCCCCGGGCUUAACCUGGGAACUGCAUUUGAAACUGGCAGGCUUGAGUCUUGUAGAGGGGGGUAGAAUUCCAGGUGUAGCG
rnacentral:rRNA from 1 species